GUCGCCAACCCUGACCCGUACAGAACUCGGAUCAUACAGUCUCAUGAUUGGAAGUGUCCUCUUUGUGACCUAGCUGAGGACUUCGAUUGACUUUACUUCACAUGCAUGGAGUUGCCAAGACUGGCAUAAACGGCAACUUGGGUCUGCAUACCUAUCCCGUUAUUUUGCCAAUUCUGUUUUCCUUCAUUGAAACUUAGCAUCUAAGACAAAUAAAAAGCACCUCAGGUACUUAUUAGCUCUUCAGUGUCAAUCAGAACAAAAUGGCAGCGUACCUGGGCAUACACCAGGGCAGCCUGGGAGUCCUCCUCCAUGGCUUGACAACCACACAUGGUCUGAGGGCUGGAGGUCCAGGGGCAGGAGCGUAACCAGGACUCGAGCAGGGCAGAGAGGCAGAGAAGGCACUGCCGUGUUCCCAUGCAAGAACUGCUUUUGGCGAAUCCGGCCCAGGGGCUACCUGUCAAACCCUAGAGGAACACGGAAGAUGCACCAUGGGCAGUGUGGCAAGGUGCCAGCGAGUAUCCAGCACUGGGGCAGGACUGCAGGUUGGCAUCCAGGAAGGAGACCUCUCUGUGCUUGAGGACAAGGCCUGCAGCUGAACCAGCACCUGAUGGAGCUGAGGGAGGAACAGACAGAGAUGAGCACAGGCUUGCAGCCUUUUGAGAACCACACCCAAGCCUCAUGUCACCUGUCAUGUAUUGCUGAUCUCUCAUGACACCUGCAGCUCCCCUGUGCACACCUACUGAAGCCCCCCUGGUCAUACCUACUGCAGCCACCCCUGUGCACACCUCCUAUCAUACUUACUGCAGCCCACCUACUGCAGCCCCUGUGCUGGCCACGGACAGUAUGGCAAGGUGC